rnacentral:rRNA from 1 species
UACGAAGGGUGCAAGCGUUAAUCGGAUUUACUGGGCGUAAAGGGUGCGUAGGUGGUUAUUUAAGUUUGAUGUGAAAGCCCUGGGCUCAACCUAGGAACUGCAUUGAAAACUGGGUAACUUGAGUACUGUAGAGGGUAGUGGAAUUUCCGGUGUAGCGGUGAAAUGCGUAGAGAUCGGAAGGAACACCAGUGGCGAAGGCGGCUACCUGGACAGAUACUGACACUGAGGCACGAGAGCGUGGGGAGCAAACAGG